GCUCAAGCCAAGCCAAUCUACCCAAGCAGUGGUCCCUGCCACGACAUCUCCUCAACCCAUGCCAAGCCAACUCCUGGCCCCUACCAGCAGACGUGCCGCACCACCCCGACGACUGCCCUGCAAUAGCACUAUCCAAGAAGAAGGCAAGAAAAAUUAAAUUUUUCUUACAUCGGUGAGGCACGGAGAAGACGAAGAAAUCAACGAAAGACGGUCAUUUGCACGGGCAAGAUGUAGAAGAUUGCUAGAGGAGGGGGAACAAAUAUCCUCUAACUUUCUGUCUCUUGUUGGGUAGAAUAAAUCGCUCUCCAAAGUUGAUUUAAUAACCCACUUAAGGUGGAAUUAAAUAGGCUUUGAGAGAAAUUUAUUUCCCUUUCCUAGAAGGAUCUAAUUUCCAUUUAAAGAGAGAAUCAACAUCAAAAUAGGAAACAGUCUUAAGUUUCCUAAAGCAAGAAAAUCUCUACACCUGUUGCCCUUUCCUACAAGCAGCCCAACAGGUGUGGGGGCAUUUGUGGAGCCAAAAAUAAUCACAAGGCGACACGUAGAUUUUUGACAAAAAAAAGACAAAACUACCCUUGAGGUAUACCGGGAUUCCUACGUGCAAUCAGCAGACAAUUAUCCUUCAACCAAGUCAAAAGUGCCCAAAAUAGGUAU
rnacentral:lncRNA from 1 species